rnacentral:rRNA from 1 species
GACGAACGCUGGCGGCGUGCUUAACACAUGCAAGUCGAACGGAAAGGCCCUGCUUGCCGGGUACUCGAGUGGCGAACGGGUGAGUAACACGUGGGUGAUCUGCCCUGCACUUCGGGAUAAGCCUGGGAAACUGGGUCUAAUACCGGAUAGGAGCCAUUUUUAGUGUGAUGGUUGGAAAGUUUUUUCGGUGUAGGAUGAGCUCGCGGCCUAUCAGCUUGUUGGUGGGGUAAUGGCCUACCAAGGCGGCGACGGGUAGCCGGCCUGAGAGGGUGGACGGCCACAUUGGGACUGAGAUACGGCCCAGACUCCUACGGGAGGCAGCAGUGGGGAAUAUUGCACAAUGGGCGCAAGCCGGAUGCAGCGACGCCGCGUGGGGGAUGACGGCCUUCGGGUUGUAAACGCCUUUCGCUAGGGACGAAGCUUUUUGUGACGGUACCUAGAUAAGAAGCACCGGCUAACUACGUG